ensembl:lincRNA
CGGGACCAAACUCUCAAUCCGGGUCCCAUUGGUUUCUCGUUUAGGCCCCUCCUCUCGACGUCGACGCACCGCGGUCCCGCCCCCAAGAGCCGCGCCAUCCACGGGCGCUUCUCCUCUGAGUUCCGCCCUGGAAUUCAGGGUCUGGGAUUCGCUUUUGCAACAAUCCUUGGAGGUCCCGCCUCCUCUGCCUCCUUGUGAGCAACCGUCUCCAAGCAGCCGCGGCGGGCUCCGCUUCCUCGGUGCUCACGCCGCCUCGGGGCGGGGCCUCCCAGGAUGCAGCGCGCUGGCGGGAGUUUUGGAGCGACGGGACACUCCCUCGGCUUACAGCCUCUGCAACGCGGAGGCUUUUUCUGCACCGAGACAAAUGUAAGGCAGCGUCUGCACCGAGAGCAGGCUCAGCAAGACUUCACCUCUCGCUCCUGAUUCCCAGGAAAGCUGGAAGGAAACAGGCAUUCCGGGGCCGGGAAUCUGUCGUUCUGUGGAUUUUAAUCGCUUGCUGUAUUCCGGGAUUGGUGCUCUUGAAUUUUCUUCAUCACCUCAUCAUCCUUCUCUUUUGGCGUGUGGAAUGCUAGAAGAAAGGAUUAAAAGCAUCAGCUGGAAUCAGUUUGCAUUUGAAAAUUGGAUGAACACAAAAGACUUGAUACUGUGAAUGGUUAGAAAACAAACAAUGUCAUCUAAGGAACAAGAAAGACUCUUGUGUUAUAAUGGGGAAGUCCUUGUUUUUCAUUUGUCAAAAGGCAAUUUUGCAGAUAAAUGGCCUGUUAAGACAUCCAUAUUACGUGUCAGACGGAUGGUAUUUGACAGAAGAACAAAAACAUUUGUUUUGAAGUCCACUGGAUGUUUCAACGUAAAGGAAGAAAACUCUAAUUUAAAAAUUGUGUGUUGCAACUGUGUUUCAGAUUUUAGAACUAGAAUUAAUUUCCCUUACAUUUUGAUACAAAGCAAUGAAAGUAAUAAUGUUUUCAAAUAUUUUCUACUAUUUCUUCAUAGUACCAAUGAAUUUGAAAGGUGUUUGAGUUUUGAACUAGACUAUGAGUUGAAGGACAGUAUAAGGGUCCUUAAUGGCCCUUUAGUCUUAUGGCAACACAUGAAAGCAUUCUUUUGUAUCUCUUCCCAAAUUGGCAAAGUUGUUAGUGUGCCAGUUAACUUUUCUUCUAUUGAGUGGGCAGGUGAGAUUGAAAAUUUUGGUAUAGUUUUAUUGGGACUAACAGAGUAUUGUUUAUCUGAAGAAGAAUACACUCAAAAGUCUUCAGAAUCAUAUUAUGCAAUUUGGAACACCAAAUUUUGUGUAUACUCUCUUGAAAAUCAAGCAGUAUUAAGUAAUACAUAUAUUAUACCUCCAGCUUAUAGCAGUGUGGUAACUUGUGUGUAUGUCUGUUCAGCUGAGAUCACCACAAGCCAGUUAAGAAUGUCUCUGAUUGUUCUGACUCAAAAGAAUCAGCUGAUUUCAUUCCAAAAUGGAACUCCGGGAAAUGUAUGCCAGCUUCCAUUUGAAGAUCCUUUUUCUGUUCAACUUUUAGAUUCAGGUCAAGGAAACCUCUUUUUCAUUGUAUCAUUUAGGUCCAGUGAUGCUUGUGCUAUUUGGAAAAAGAACUUUCAGGUUGCUGCUAAGUGGGAAAACCUCAGCUCAGUACUGAUAGAUGACUUUAUUGGAACUGGAACUGAACAACUACUACUACUUUUUAAAGACUCCUUGAACACAGAUUGCCUGGCUUCAUUUAAAAUAACAGAUCUUGUCAAAUUAGACUAUUCAGUAAGUGUUUAUUUAUUAUAUAUUUCUUUAAGAGACACAUUAGAAAAU